ACACAUUCAAUAUGAUGGUCAUUUAAGCAUAUUAAACAUUAAAUUACUUUCAAAUCCAUUUUCUAUUUUUUUUUUAUAAUAAAUUCCAGUUUUUGUUAAAUUGUAAUCCACCUUGUCCUAACUAAAGCUGCACCUGGAUCUAUUUUUUUUAGUUAAUUUUAAUUGGAAUAACCUUUUUAAAAAGGUAUUUAUACAACGGUAUACAUACUUUUAGCAGGUAAGAUAUAUCGUGGGGUAUCGUUUAUUAGGCAGAUUCCUCUGAGGGUAUAGGAUGCCGCCAAGUUCUUUAGGUUUCAAGAUAGUAGCUAUUAGUACC
rnacentral:rRNA from 1 species